rnacentral:rRNA from 1 species
AGUGAACGCUGGCGGCAGGCCUAACACAUGCAAGUCGAACGGCAGCACAGUAAGAGCUUGCUCUUACGGGUGGCGAGUGGCGGACGGGUGAGGAAUACAUCGGAAUCUACUUUUUCGUGGGGGAUAACGUAGGGAAACUUACGCUAAUACCGCAUACGACCUACGGGUGAAAGCAGGGGAUCUUCGGACCUUGCGCGAUUGGAUGAGCCGAUGUCGGAUUAGCUAGUUGGCGGGGUAAAGGCCCACCAAGGCGACGAUCCGUAGCUGGUCUGAGAGGAUGAUCAGCCACACUGGAACUGAGACACGGUCCAGACUCCUACGGGAGGCAGCAGUGGGGAAUAUUGGACAAUGGGCGCAAGCCUGAUCCAGCCAUACCGCGUGGGUGAAGAAGGCCUUCGGGUUGUAAAGCCCUUUUGUUGGGAAAGAAAAGCAGCAGGUUAAUACCCCGCUGUUCUGACGGUACCCAAAGAAUAAGCACCGGCUAACUUCGUG